rnacentral:rRNA from 1 species
UACGUAGGGCGCAAGCGUUGUCCGGAAUUAUUGGGCGUAAAGAGCUCGUAGGCGGCCUGUUACGUCUGCUGUGAAAUCCCGGGGCUUAACCCCGGGCGUGCAGUGGAUACGGGCAGGCUGGAGGCAGGCAGGGGAGACUGGAAUUCCUGGUGUAGCGGUGAAAUGCGCAGAUAUCGGGAGGAACACCCGUAGCGAAGGCGGGUCUCUGGGCCGAUACUGACACUGAGGAGCGAAAGCGUGGGGAGCGAACAGG